rnacentral:rRNA from 1 species
GGUAACUUAGUCUUUUAUUCAUUAUUAAUGGAUCACUCAAUCUACACAUCAAUAUAAUUCUAUUUAAGAAGAGUUAUUUAUAUCUCCCCAUCACCCCAAUCAAACAAUUUUGAUUUAAAUCUCACUUCACUCUAAACACAUUUAUUAUCUUUAAAUUGUUAAGCUCUAUAGGGUCUUCUCGUCCUCCAAUUUCAUUUUAGCCUUUUAACUAAAAAGUUAAAUUUUAACUCAAUCCUUGUGAGACAGUCAAUACCUCGUCCAACCAUUCAUACCAGCCUCUAAUUAAGAGACUAAUGAUUAUGCUACCUUUGCACGGUCAAAAUACCGCGGCCCUUCAAUUCUUCAGUGGGCAGGUUAGACCUCUUAUUUAUUCAAGAAGCGAUGUUUUUGAUAAACAGGCGAGUACAAAUUUGCCGAAUUCCUUAUAAAGACCUCUCUUUUUAAAUACAUUAAACACUCUUUUAUAUUAAUUUUACCAUUAUUACUCAUUAUUUUUAUUCCCAAUGACACUUUAGUACAUAAAUUAAACUUUUUAAAAUUAAACUAUCCUUUAAUAAACUAUAACGUUAAUAUUUGUUAGCUGAUUUCAAGCCUACCCCUUUAAUCUUUAUUCCUGUUUAUUGUAACUCUACCUUUAAGCUUAUCCCUCAAGGUAUUAAUAAAUAACCCCUAAAUUAAUUUACACUUAUCAAAGUAACAUUUUUAUCUGAAUUCAAUUCAUUUCCCAAAGAACUAGAAACCUUUAAAUUCGAUUAACAUUUCAUUCCUAAAAAAAAAUAUGAAUGAUAAAUUUGUAACUUUAACCACUUCUAUUCCUUUAGCUCAUUUAAAAUCGAGAAAACAAAAUCUUUCCUUUCAUUUAAUAAACCCUGAUACACAAGGUACAAUACAAAAUCUACUUUUUACUAAACACUUUUUCAUCUAUUUCACUCUCCCUUCACAGUACUCUCUUUAUUAUUCAUUCCAUAAUUUCUUUACCCAAUACUCAUACUUAAGCUUUUAUAUUGAUUUACCUAGUCUAUUUGUUAAAUUUAAAUUCUUAAUUAAUUUAUCUCUCAAAAUAAAUUGAAUCACACAAUAACCCUUCAAUGUAAAUGAAAUGCUUUACUUAACAAGCUCUA